rnacentral:rRNA from 1 species
UUUAUGGAGAGUUUGAUCCUGGCUCAGGAUGAACGCUGGCGGCGUGCCUAAUACAUGCAAGUCGAGCGAACGGACGAGAAGCUUGCUUCUCUGAUGUUAGCGGCGGACGGGUGAGUAACACGUGGAUAACCUACCUAUAAGACUGGGAUAACUUCGGGAAACCGGAGCUAAUACCGGAUAAUAUUUUGAACCACAUGGUUCAAAAGUGAAAGACGGUCUUGCUGUCACUUAUAGAUGGAUCCGCGCUGCAUUAGCUAGUUGGUAAGGUAACGGCUUACCAAGGCAACGAUGCAUAGCCGACCUGAGAGGGUGAUCGGCCACACUGGAACUGAGACACGGUCCAGACUCCUACGGGAGGCAGCAGUAGGGAAUCUUCCGCAAUGGGCGAAAGCCUGACGGAGCAACGCCGCGUGAGUGAUGAAGGUCUUCGGAUCGUAAAACUCUGUUAUUAGGGAAGAACAUAUGUGUAAGUAACUGUGCACAUCUUGACGGUACCUAAUCAGAAAGCCACGGCUAACUACGUGCCAGCAGCCGCGGUAAUACGUAGGUGGCAAGCGUUAUCCGGAAUUAUUGGGCGUAAAGCGCGCGUAGGCGGUUUUUUAAGUCUGAUGUGAAAGCCCACGGCUCAACCGUGGAGGGUCAUUGGAAACUGGAAAACUUGAGUGCAGAAGAGGAAAGUGGAAUUCCAUGUGUAGCGGUGAAAUGCGCAGAGAUAUGGAGGAACACCAGUGGCGAAGGCGACUUUCUGGUCUGUAACUGACGCUGAUGUGCGAAAGCGUGGGGAUCAAACAGGAUUAGAUACCCUGGUAGUCCACGCCGUAA